AUGAACAAUUCGACCUCCUUCUGUUGUGGAUGAUCUUUUCUGGUCUGGGUAAAGUUGUUGGUGUUGGAGCACUGUUCGAGAAACAAGAACAUGAAGGUCGCACUGACUCUAUGCUUAAACUGCUGACAGUUUCAUGGAAAUAAAUGUAUUUGUGUGCUAAUGAGAGAUGUGGUUUUACCAUGUUGCCCAGGCUGGUCUUGAACUCCUGAACUCAAGCCAUCUGCCCACCUUGGCCACCCAAAGUACUGGGAUUACACGCAUGAGCUACCAUGCCUGGAUAAGACAACCUUCCAGAUGGUGGAGCCUCUGUCAGUUGGAGUCCCAGAAUGCAGCAAUCUAAAGCAGAAGCCAUCACUAAAAGGCAGCAACGUGUGACAGAAACAAGAAAUAAACAUUGUCUGUGCCACAGAAAUGUUGUGGGUUUUGUUACCACACAUCUCCUGCCCAACAGAGACGUAUGUGGUGUAGUAGAAGGAGCAUAAUCACUGUUAAAAGUUGCCAGCAACUGGUUUCCCCAAGAGUUAUCUAAGGCCAUCAAAGUGGCUUUUCCUGUGUGUGACAAUGGACACAUAAUUAGCCACACACCCAGAUCUCCCAACUCUCAACACGUCAUUUUAGAAAGCAGCAUUCAAGGUGCAAUUUUAAAGUUAAAAUAUUAAAAUACUAACAAACUG
ensembl:lncRNA novel transcript